rnacentral:RNase_P_RNA from 1 species
UCAGUUGGCUGGGUGACCGCGCCGGCAAGUGCCGAAAGGCCGCCGGGGAGGAAAGUCCGGGCUCCAGGGAUACACGGUGCCGGGUAACGCCCGGCGAGGGAAACCUCAGGGAAAGUGCCACAGAAAGCAAACCGCCCGCGGUCCGCCGCAGGUAAGGGUGAAAGGGUGCGGUAAGAGCGCACCGCAUUUCUGGCAACAGGAAUGGCAGGGUAAACCCCACCGGGAGCAAAAUCGAAUAGGGAUCGCGCGGGGUGCAAGCCCCAGGCCUGUUUUCCGGCCAGCGAUCCGGGUAGAUUGCAGGAGGCGGCUGGUAACGGUCGUCCCAGAUGAAUGGUCACCCCGCCGCUUGCGGCGGACAGAACCCGGCUUACAGGCCAACUGACGCU